GGAGCCGAGUGGCGCUCACGUUUGUGGAGCCGCUGUUGCCCAUGUCAGUUACAAUAGAGGCUUUUGCUCCAGCCACAAACAUAAUCGGAGCACGGCUCGCUGGCUUGCUGCUUCUCUCACUCCACCCCACCCCUCCGCCCCCCAUCAGAGAAGCCGUGACCCGCUCUGCCCCAGAACACUCUCCACGGCCGGCUAUGUCCCGAACAAUUCCCUGGGGUCUGAGCUCCAUCCAGACCGACAGCCUCCGGUUGCACUGUGCAAUCGGGGACUGUCCACACUAGAUGCCAAAGCAGCGCCUGGUUCUGGCUGAGCCCACGACUCUGGUGCUUUUCUGAUCCGCUCUGAGAAGCCUGGCUGAAGAGAUCGGGAACUUUGAGCGGUUUGGCUCUGUUGACGGUUUUACACAAAUUGUUUUCAAGGCGAAAGGUGUCUGGAGAUCAAGCGAGCUCCGCGCAUGCGUUGGUCUGUUGGGAAUUAUUGCUCUGCCUUGGACUAAGUUGCAUUCCUUGGAUCUUCGCAGAAAAGCCAAUUCUUCAGACAGAGUUAGGAAUGUGGACAGUUCACAGUCGAGGGUAUUUUGGGAUUCUCUCGUUCCCCGUGAUGAUAGCCAUGGUCUGCUGUGCGCAAAGCGUUAAUGAGCCUAGCAACAUGUCAUAUGUGAAAGAGACAGUGGACAGAUUGCUCCAUGGAUACGACAUUCGCUUGAGGCCAGACUUUGGAGGUGCUCCUGUUGACGUCGGGAUGAGGAUAGACAUUGCCAAUAUAGACAUGGUCUCAGAGGUCAACAUGGACUACACACUCACAAUGUAUUUCCAGCAGUCCUGGAGGGACAAAAGGCUGUCUUACUCUGGAAUACCUCUGAACCUAACUUUGGACAACAGAGUAGCUGACCAGCUCUGGGUGCCGGACACAUACUUCCAAAAUGACAAGAAGUCAUAUGUUCAUGGGGUUACAGUGAAAAAUCGAAUGAUUCGACUACAUCCUGAUGGAACUGUCCUUUAUGGCCUACGGAUCACAACUACAGCUGCUUGCAUGAUGGAUCUACGUAGAUACCCUCUGGAUGAACAAAACUGCACACUAGAAAUUGAAAGUUAUGGAUACACCACUGAUGAUAUUGAGUUUUACUGGAAUGGAGGGGAAUCUGCAGUAACAGGAGUUAAUAAUAUUGAGCUCCCACAGUUUUCAAUUGUUGAUUACAAGAUGGUAUCAAAAAAAGUGGAAUUUACAACAGGGGCAUAUCCUCGAUUAUCACUUAGUUUUCGGCUUAAACGAAAUAUUGGUUACUUCAUUUUGCAAACCUACAUGCCUUCCACGUUGAUCACAAUUCUAUCGUGGGUAUCUUUUUGGAUCAACUAUGAUGCCUCUGCUGCAAGAGUUGCCCUAGGAAUCACAACUGUGCUGACCAUGACCACAAUAAGCACUCAUCUCAGGGAGACACUGCCAAAGAUUCCCUAUGUAAAGGCAAUAGAUAUUUACCUAAUGGGAUGCUUUGUGUUUGUAUUUCUCGCCUUGCUGGAAUAUGCCUUUGUAAACUACAUAUUCUUUGGGAAAGGUCCUCACCGUCAAAAAAAGGCAGCUGAGAAGGCUACUGAUGAGGAGGGCAAACCAGAGAUGAAUAAAGUCCAGGUACUUGAGUAAAGCUAAUGUUUCAUAUAUUUUUAUUUCUAAUAGGGCAUAAAUGAAAGCAUUAAACAUUUUCCAAAGAAGUUAAUAUAUAAUAAGGGAGUUACUGCAACUAAACUAUGGUGCCUGUCUUCAACUCAAAUAUGGUGCCACAUUUCUGUCAGUGCCAAUGAGCUCAUCAUCCUCAUUGUACUACAUGGCCAGAUAAAAAUACUUACCUACAUUCAUCUGUUGUCCAAAACCAUACAGAGUGACCUCUUAUGCUACAUGGAAAUUCAGUUCAAGACCCUGACACCUAUAGGUACACCACAAAGGGUAACCCCUACACUGUUAAGGGCAUAAGCCAUCCCUUUAUGGAUUAUUCGCUGGAGAUGCUAUCCAUACCUAUGCUGCAUUCAGAUGAGAAGUGGGGAAAACAAGUUAACAGAGGCCAGUUCCAAACACUCACACCUCUGCUCAAACACCCCAAAGCUAUUCUGAUCCAGGUGGAAGGUGGACAGUGAGGAUCCAUGAAGAAAAUAGAGAAGCACCUCUUCUCCAGCAUCAGCCCUGGCUGUGUGGACCCUGGUACAUGAGCAGAUGACUUUGUAGGUGGUCCAUGGAACAGAGGUAAGUUACAUUUUUUCUACAGAUUUGGUGACACCAGUUACAUCUUGCUGACGUUCACCAAAGCCAGUUUAAAACUUUCACUUUGAUCGUAAACUGGCAGAAAUAUUACAGAAAUUAAGAACGUCUGUAUCAGACAAUUGCUUAAUUGAAUUGCCUUUUACACACACUCAACAUAUGCCUGUGACACAUAGGCAUUUAAAUUAAUUGUUAAAGAGAUCCGUCAAUUAAUGAUUUUGUUGUUGUAUUGGUGACUGUAGACAUACUGCAUGCAUGAUCCUCGUAAGUAUCCUUUUGGCUUGCAGUAUGGAAAAUAUUGAUGUUCUAAGGUUGGCUUUAUCUUUCAGUUUUACAUAGGAAGAAUACAUGAUCAGAGCUGCAGGUUGAAAGCUAACUGGUGGAGCUGGUGGAGCUGGAGUAGUUCAUCUGAGCCCUAAUCUACAGAAUUUCCCUAUAUCUUUCAUAUUUCAGCGGUCAGUACCAAAAUAUAGGAAGCUGAUUUCAGAGGGUGAGAGAAGAGCAGCAGUUAAUAGUGCUACUUAUUUCUACCUGAGAUGUGCCCUAGGUAAGGAGGAUGAGUUUCUUCCUACAGCAGAUUCAGCAUAUCUAAUGGCAUAGUGAGACAUGCAAUGAACUGAUUAUGAAAUUGAACCAGCACCUGGAAGAGAAACUGGAUAAGUUUAUGCUCAAAUAAAUUUGGAUGCAGAUAAUGACCUUGUAAUGUUCCACACAUGGUGUUUUUUCUUCCUCAACCUGACAGAGGAGGAAUCCAGGAUCACCACAGUCCUACAUCAAUGUGCCAUUUUUAUUUUUAUAGAUGACGGAAAUUUUUUUAUUCAUUACAAAUAAGCUCUCAUUGUUCUUGGUUCUAUUUUUGAUGAUAAAAUAUUUU